UACGAAGGGGGCUAGCGUUGUUCGGAAUCACUGGGCGUAAAGGGCGCGUAGGCGGCCUGAUAAGUCGGGGGUGAAAGCCUGUGGCUCAACCACAGAAUUGCCUUCGAUACUGUUAGGCUUGAGACCGGAAGAGGCAAGUGGAACUGCGAGUGUAGAGGUGAAAUUCGUAGAUAUUCGCAAGAACACCAGUGGCGAAGGCGGCUUACUGGUCCGGUUCUGACGCUGAGGCGCGAAAGCGUGGGGAGCAAACAGG
rnacentral:rRNA from 1 species